UGAGGAACAUGACCUUCGGCGGGGGAUAGCCGGCCCAACGGCCGGGUAAUACCGCGUACGACCACUCGGGGACAUCCCCAGGUGGUGAAAGCAGCAAUGCGCCGAUGGAGUGCCUCGCGGCCUAUCAGCUAGUUGGUGAGGUAACGGCUCACCAAGGCGACGACGGGUAGCUGGUCUGAGAGGAUGGCCAGCCCACAUUGGGUCUGAGACACGGCCCAGACCUCCGUACGGGAGCAG
rnacentral:rRNA from 1 species